rnacentral:tRNA from 1 species
ACUUUUCUAGUAAAAUUAUAUUAUGUUAUCUUGAUAAGGUAAAGUUCCUUUUGGGAGAAGUA